rnacentral:rRNA from 1 species
CACGUAGGGCGCAAGCGUUGUCCGGAAUUAUUGGGCGUAAAGAGCUCGUAGGCGGUCUGUUGCGUCUGCUGUGAAAACCCGGGGCUUAACCCCUGGCUUGCAGUGGAUACGGACAGACUAGAGGUAGGUAGGGGAGAAUGGAAUUCCCGGUGUAGCGGUGAAAUGCGCAGAUAUCGGGAAGAACACCCGUGGCGAAGGCGGCUCUCUGGAACGCAACUGACGCUGAGACGCGAAAGCGUGGGGAGCAAACAGGAUUAA